rnacentral:rRNA from 1 species
GACGAACGCUGGCGGCGUGCUUAACACUUGCAAGUCGAACGGAAAGGCCCUGCUUUUGUGGGGUGCUCGAGUGGCGAACGGGUGAGUAACACGUGAGUAACCUGCCCUUGACUUUGGGAUAACUUCAGGAAACUGGGGCUAAUACCGGAUAGGAGCUCCUGCUGCAUGGUGGGGGUUGGAAAGUUUCGGCGGUUGGGGAUGGACUCGCGGCUUAUCAGCUUGUUGGUGGGGUAGUGGCUUACCAAGGCUUUGACGGGUAGCCGGCCUGAGAGGGUGACCGGCCACAUUGGGACUGAGAUACGGCCCAGACUCCUACGGGAGGCAGAAGUGGGGAAUAUUGCACAAUGGGCGGAAGCCUGAUGCAGCAACGCCGCGUGCGGGAUGACGGCCUUCGGGUUGUAAACCGCUUUCGCCUGUGACGAAGCGUGAGUGACGGUAAUGGGUAAAGAAGCACCGGCUAACUACGUG